CAUGCCAAUUAGAUGUUAUAUAAUAAAAUAGGAAAAAAAAUUGUAAUAUUUCCUUUUUCGAAAUAUAUGUAAGAACAAUGCCAAACAUCAUUUGAAACUUUCUUGUAAUUCGAUUAGUCACAUGUUAACAAUUGAUAUCAAUACAUGCCACUCUGGUUAUCAUAUAAUGAAGGUAAAAUAUUCUUCCUUUGCUACCUAACCAGAUUUGAUAGGCUCACAUAUAUCGACCAUUAUGGUUAUAUACGGUGCUUUCAUGAAAAUAAUUAAACUAAAAUAGUAUUGAACUAUCUAUAAUCUAUCUUGUGACAGAUUCACAUAUGUUGACUAUUAUGUUUAUAUUUGAUGCUUCUAAUUUGUUUGGGUGAAUAAUGAAAUGAUAAUAAUAUUGAAAUGUGUAUCUCAGAGAUAAGUUGGCAACCAUUAGUUUUAGCUGUCAGAAAUUGGCUACUUCAUAUUUCCAUCUAAAGUUAAUCUCACCUGCAAUGUAUUGACCUCUUAGGUCAAUGGUGGAUGAGGACAAUUUAAAUUGGAUUUGCUAACAUGACUAAAUAACUCUAGCCUGAUAAGCAUGAUUAAAUUACUCUGGCCUGAUUGACUAAAUUUAAUUAUUCUUUAUUUGGUUCGAUGCAGCUAGCUAAUAGAGUUGUCUGAAUUAGCAAAGAGAAUGAGAAAAGAGAUUGUUAUUUUAGUUCACUAUAUUAAGUGGGUUAAUUUAGUCCUGAUUAUCUGGGUUCAGUUCCUUCUUGACAUUAUUAGUGUCCUUCGAUUUAACCCUCGUUAAACCUGAACUAAAUGCACAGCUAAGUAUGACUGUGAGGAUAGUAAAACUAUGUUUAUUUUCUAUUGGUGUCACAAAUGCUGGUUUCAGCUAUAUCAGCAACUGAACAUAAAUAAAACCAAGAAGAUUAAUUCAAGUCUUCUACAUUAUGCAGCAUAUUCUACGUAAUUUAACCAGUAACUAAAAUCUAUAUUAGACAUAUUAUGAACAUCUCCAGUUAUUAUCAUCUAGAGCAAUCCGAAUCAGCAUAUAUGAGAUUGUAAAUGCCAGAGAUCGAUAGACAGACAAACAGAUAAGAGAGAGAGAGAUAUUUUCAAUGGGCUUCUUGGAUAGUUAGCCAUCUCCACUAUUGUCUUCUCUAUAAAAUUUGUUCAUAUUCUGCUACACAGUACUUCAAAAGUUUCAGGACAUUUAAGAUCACAACAGUAAGCAAAUGCAAUGUCAGAGAUUUACCAACAGAAAUGUUGCUCAAAGAUGAACCUGCAUUUCUGAGGUAUAGACUAUAAGCUGCAGAACAAUGACUACUAACCCAAAUUGUUAAGGUUGCUUUCAUCUAUUGUUGCUAGCUGAUUGAAUUUGACUUCAUCGCCUACAAACUUCAGAGUUGGAGAUGGUCGACAACUACUUGCUUGUUUGGUGAUAUUUCUCUACAAGAUGAAAUCUUGGCUGGAGAUCUAAAGCCAA